UACGUAGGGGGCAAGCGUUGUCCGGAUUUAUUGGGCGUAAAGAGCGUGUAGGCGGCCAAGCAGGUCCGCUGUGAAAACUCGAGGCUCAACCUCGAGAUGUCGGCGGAAACCGUCUGGCUAGAGUCCGGAAGAGGAGAGUGGAAUUCCUGGUGGUAGCGGUGAAAUGCGCAGAUAUCAGGAAGAACACCCAUGGCGAAAGCAGCUCUCUGGGACGGUACUGACGCUGAGACGCGAAAGCCGUGGGGAGCGAACAGG
rnacentral:rRNA from 1 species